rnacentral:lncRNA from 1 species
UAUAAUGGAGAAGUCAGGUAGACUCAAGGUUCCCAGAUUGUGGGUUUAAAGACUAUUUUCAGGUUUAGGAGUUGGUUUUCUAAUAGAAACCUAGAGAGAGAGAGAGAGAUGGCCUCACUGAUAAUGAAAGUUUUCUGAAGAAGUGCCAGCAGAAAGGUAUGAGCAAUACUGUGUUUUCAAGGGAGUUUUGCUUGGAUACCAUGUGUCUGUGGCAUUUUUUAUUGUUUGAGGGAUUACUGAUUAGGGUCUGUUUCGAAGCAGGUAUUAGAUAACAAUACUUUGACCAUCCAACUGAAGGGAAUUCUCAGCCUUCAUAAAAUUUCUUCUUUCAUUCCAUGUUUUUGCUAAUCCCUCUUUUCCCCACCUUUUGUAAUAAAUGGACUUCUUUCUUCCAGAAAAUACUCAUCCACAACAUUAGAUAUCAAAUGAACUAAUUUUCUCAAUGAGAAUAAUGUUGGUACAGCAGAGGAUUUAUCUAAACUGAGUAAUUUAGGAUGAAGAGUACAGAAAAAUUAUAGUUUAAUAAGAAAGUAUCUUAACAAGGUAGAAACUAUUUUUAUGAAACAGUACCCAAAACAUGACACAUGCUCAACCUGAAUAAAAG